rnacentral:rRNA from 1 species
GACAGAGGAGCCAAGCGUUGUCCGGACUGACUGGGCGUAAAGCGCACGCAGGCGGCGCUGCGCGUGGGGUGUGAAAGCUCUUGGCUUAACUGAGAGAGGCCAUCCCAUACGGCAGUGCUCGAGCGGUGCAGAGGUCCGCGGAAUUGCCGGUGUAGUGGUGAAAUGCGUAGAGAUCGGGCGGAACACCAGCGGCGAAGGCGGCGACCUGGCCCUGACCUGACGCUGAGGCGCGAGAGCGUGGGGAGCGAACGGG